rnacentral:rRNA from 1 species
AUUGAACGCUGGCGGCAGGCCUAACACAUGCAAGUCGAGCGAGCGGCGGACGGGUGAGUAAUGUCUGGGAAACUGCCUGAUGGAGGGGGAUAACUACUGGAAACGGUAGCUAAUACCGCAUACCAUCAGAUGUGCCCAGAUGGGAUUAGCGAGUAGGUGGGGUAACGUCUCACCUAGGCGACGUUCCAUAGCUGGUCUGAGAGGAUGACCAGCGAACCUGGAACUGCAACACGGUCCAGGGUCCGACGGUAGGCAGCAGUGGUGAAUAUUGAACAAUGGGCGCAAGCCUGAUGCAGCCAUGCCGCUUGUGUGAAGAAGGCCUUCGGUUUGUAAAGCACUUUCAGCGGGGAGGCGUUGCCCGCAGAAGAAGCACCGGCUAACUCCGUGCCAGCAGCCGCGGUAAUUC